CGAGCGGUAACAUUUCUAGCUUGCUAGAAGAUGACGAGCGGCGGACGGGUGAGUAAUGCUUGGGAAUAUGCCUUAUGGUGGGGGACAACAGUUGGAAACGACUGCUAAUACCGCAUAAUGUCUACGGACCAAAGGGGGGGAUCUUCGGACCUCUCGCCAUUUGAUUAGCCCAAGUGAGAUUAGCUAGUUGGUGAGGUAAUGGCUCACCAAGGCGACGAUCUCUAGCUGGUUUGAGAGGAUGAUCAGCCACACUGGGACUGAGACACGGCCCAGACUCCUACGGGAGGCAGCAGUGGGGAAUAUUGCACAAUGGGCGCAAGCCUGAUGCAGCCAUGCCGCGUGUGUGAAGAAGGCCUUCGGGUUGUAAAGCACUUUCAGUAAGGAGGAAAGGGAUGUAGUUAAUAACUGCAUUCUGUGACGUUACUUACAGAAGAAGCACCGGCUAACUUCGUGCCAGCAGCCGCGGUAAUACGAGGGGUGCAAGCGUUAAUCGGAAUUACUGGGCGUAAAGCGUUCGUAGGCGGUUGAUUAAGCAAGAUGUGAAAGCCCAGGGCUCAACCUUGGAACUGCAUUUUGAACUGGUCAACUAGAGUACUGUAGAGGGUGGUGGAAUUUCC
rnacentral:rRNA from 1 species